CCGACGCUCCAGAUGCCUUCCAUUUAUUCCGUUAUCGCCAUGUGUUGUUUUUUUGUUGCAAUCUUCAUCGCAUCAUUCGCAUUGCACCGGCACUCUUUUGUCAUCAUUUUCCAAACUUGCAUCUGUUCGUCAUUGUCACAUCUCUCCCUUGUCAUGAUUGGUCAUUCUGAGAUCAACCACACUUGCAACAUUGUUUUUUGUUUUCUCUCUUGCCUAAACCAAAGUCUUUCUCCAUAGUACACAGACCCCUUCAUGUGCGUGUCUGAAACUCCCCCCGGACCCGAACCGGUCGAACAUGGCCGAUCGGUUUGGAUCAUAUGGCUCCAAACCACUCCCCCAAUCUGUCUAUGUUAUAAAUAGCAGACAAAGACCUACCAAUUUUAUCCAAACCUAGAUCCUAGGAACCUGUCUCGUCGCCGCUGCCGCUCAUCCCAAAUCCUCCUCAAUUUCCCAGCCAACCAACCAAAUCCACCUUCCCUUCCUCCUGAAGCACUCCACUCCUCUCGAUCCUUGCUCGCCUCGCAAGCCUCGUCGCGGGUCAACCGCACCGCUGCUCAUGGCCUGUACCAACCUCCUCCUCCGCCACCAAGUCCCACCGCCGCCAGUCAUCCUAUCUCCUUCCACCUCCGGAUUGCCCCUGAUCCAAACCCAUAGCUUCCAGAUCCGUCGCCACCAACCUUCUCCUAGUCUCCCGACCUAGCCACCCGGCUCUCAGUGCCGCCUCCCUCUUCUUGCCGAGCAUCCCCGCUCGAGGAGGAGCCCCGCUCACUCCUAGAUCGAUCCCCGCUCCCCUGCAGCUGAGCUGCUAGACCAGCCGCUCACCAAGAGCUAGCAGCAGCCCCGCUAUCAUCAGGCCAGGACCUCCUUGUCGCUCCUCUUCUCCCACUCCCCCUGUUUUUUCUUGUUGCCCCUGCCUCUCCCUAUGGCCUGAUCUCUUGCCGCUGACCGGAACUGACAUGGCCGUCCUAAAGCCCCUGCCCCGAGCACCCCGCAAGAAGUAGCGAUAGUCCCGAACAGCGCCGCCCAUGGCCUUGUCUCUGGCCAGAACGAGUCGUCCCCAACCUCCACCUCGUCGCCCACGCCGCCGCCUUGCUCCGCCCUCGCCGUCCUCCUACCGAUGAGCAGCACUAGCAGGUCUUCCUCACCGCCCCUUCUCCCUUCCCCUUUCUCUUCUUCGGUGAGUCUUCCGCUAUCUCACCCGACCCCCUCUGUCGAUGUUCCCUGUUACAGCGCCGACCACCUCCACGGGACCUUCUCCGGCCAUCCCUGUUGGUCGGCGGCCUCUCUUGCCCGUUGACUACGCCGCCGGAGCCCUGCCUUGCACCAUCUCCCCGUUGCCUGCGAGCUCGUGCUCGAGCCCUGCUUCUGCGGGCGUCCUCUGCAUCGCCCCCCCCCCCCCCCCCCCCCCCCCCCCCCCCCCCCCCCCCCCCCCCCCCCCCCCCCCCCCCCCGCUCACACGACUGCGUGCAUUGACCACAUCCUGCUGACCACGUUAACCCGCGACCUGGGCCGCAGCGUCGCCAGCCGCCUUCGCCAGCCCAGUCAGCCUCCUCUGCUCCGACCGGGCCUCAGCCCAUGGUGAGCCACUGCUGCGGCUACCUUUGCACUAUCGGCCCAAGUGCAGUUUUGGCCCAUUCUGUCUUUUUUCUGUCCAGCGAUUUUAGUAAUUAUCCAGAGAAAACUUGCGUUACAGAAAAAAACCCUCCAUGUUCAUGCAUUAAUAACUCAUAAUCCGUGCAUUGUAAUUAAACAAACUUUAUAUGUAAAAUGCUUAGAAUUUCAUGUACUUUCAUAAUUUGCAACUUUCAUCCAUGUUAAAAAUGUUAAAAAUUGAUUUGCAUUAAUUUGCAUCAAUGAGAUGUUGAAAUGAUUUAUUUCAUAACUAAAUAAUCAUAGCUCCGAAUUAAAUAAACUUUAUAUGUAAAUGGGUUAGAAAAGUGCAUAGUUUAACAUGGUGGCAUUACUUUGCAUGUUUAACAACUCUAAAAUUAUGUAUAGGGUAGAACAAUACCAAAUUUGAAAUAUGCAUGUGGGGAUUUUCCAUAAUUGUAGUUUGUUAUUUUUGGCCUCAUUUAAACUUGCCUAAAUAGUUAGUUUAGUUAUGCUUCACGUCUUGCCAUGUUAACCAAUAUUUAAGCUUGUCUUUUUCAUAAACGAGAGCGCACUAAAUAAUUCGCAUGUGGUGUUUCGUCAAUAUGUAACUCAUUGCAUAUUGAGCUCCACUUAAUUUGUAGUAUUGUUUGUUGCACUUUGCCAUUCCAUGACUCAUUAAACCGGACAUCCAUCAUACUUGAUUGUGCAUCAUGCCAUGAUUAUGCUUGUUGGUUUACCAUGUUGUUUCUUCUUUCUAGUGUUGCUUCUUCUUGAUAGUUCCGGUAACGUUGCGAUUGUGAGGAUUAAUUCGACUACGUUGAUUCGUCUACAUCAUGGAUUCAGUCUUCUUCCUAGUGGGAUUUCAGGAAAGAUGACCAUUACCUUGAAUACCGCUACUAUCUUUGCUUGCUAGUUAUCUCGAUGCUAUCGCUAUGUCGCGCUACCUACCACUUGUUUAUCAAGACUCCCAAAGUGUCAUGAUAAGCCUCUAACCUUUCUACCAUCCCAGCAAACCGUUGUUUGGCUAUGUUACCACUUUGCUUAGCCCCUCUUAUAGCGUUGCUAGUUGCAGGUGCAGUUUGAGGUUGUUCCAUGUUGGGACAUGGAUAUCAUGGGAUAUCACAAUAUCUGUUAUUUAAUUAAUGCAUCUAUUUAGAAUCAUUAUAACUAUGCAACUUUCGAGCCCUCCCAGACCAUCAACGUUCAGAGUCGUCGGAUCGUCACUUGUUACCAUUUUCGGCCGUCAGAUUGGCCUGGGAUCGCAUGCACGCUCGCCUCGUUCGCUACAGUUGAGCGCUAAUCGUCCUGGGCCGCUUCUCCGGUCACUUUUUUGGGCCUCUGUCGUUAAAUUGGCCUUAAUGGGCUUCUAGCAGCCUCCCAUCCGUGCAGGUGCAGCUGAAGGGAAAAUUAAUAAAGCUUCGUGAGGUUGUCUAAAAAAAUCAAGGGAAAAAAGUUGUCUAAAAAAAGCUGAAGGGAAAAAAAUACAUGACUCGCAACCCUCGUUUGGUUCACAAUCACAAGGUCGCAGCCUUCCUCAUUCGCGUGGCGGCUCCUCGGUCUUCGCGACCAUGUUGGGCUCCGAUCGAUGCGGGAGAGACGACUCCCAUGGCCACCGCGCUGUGAUCUGACCGACGCGACGAACGGCCUUGACGGGCGAUGGCACGGUGUCCGCUCGGUCGCACUUGCACAGCGCGACGGGACAAUGCAGUAACGACGAAUAGUAGUAUGUCGAUUGGAGUUCUAUCGCCAGUGAUUGAUUGAUUGGUUAAUGGCCAUAAAAACAGGUCAGUUUCGUUUGUCCAUUCAUAUUUAUCUUUAAGUCACAGGCGCCCAUAUAAUCCCAACCUGGCCGCUGCUCCUUCCUGCUCCUUCCCCAAACCAUUCUGUGACAGAGAUUGGUGAUGCUUAGGUCUCUAAGUUAUUCUAAUCCCCCCUCCUUCCUACCCCCCACCCCCACCCCCUCUUCCCCCAAUUCUUCAUCCAUUUUCAAAAUUUGUUUCAUUGAUGUUGUUCUUUCUGUUCACAAACAACGCAGGAUCUCUAGAGGACGGAUUUCUCCCCGCAAAAAAGGAAAGAGAAAAAAAAUGGAUUUCUUUCUUUCUUGCAGCUGAAUCUACCAAUAUCCAGUGGUCAACGGACAGGUUAGUAUGAGUAUCCUCAUAUGCUGUUAUGCCUCAUUUAACUUGUGCGCCAUCUAACUAUCUAUGCAUAUUAUAUUUACCUUUCUAUUCGUACAAUAUGAUGCCACUCUCUAUGAUUGAUUGAAAUAAUUGCAGUACUGCCUGUUGUUUUUGCCCUAUAUAUGUAGCAGGUUAGUUAGCAAGUUAAAAAUGCACAAACGAAACAGGAAUAUUGUUCAAGGUGCUGAUGCCUCCACAUCACAUUCUGGAUAUGAACACAUUAUGCCUAUCAGAUCACUUUCACAAAACUUCUUAUGCAGCAGAAUAAGCCAACCUAGUGAAACCGAAGUUCAGUCGAUUAAUCCAGAGAACCUGCUUUAAUUUUGGGGGUGCAAAGAAUAGCAUCACUAAAGAAAAAAAAUCUGUAACUCGAUGCAGAGUUGGGGAAAGAGGGUAGGUAGGAAGGAGGGGACACUUGGAGAAGGGGGGAAGAUGAAUGUCAACCAUGCCCACCGGUGAAGGAUCUGCGGAAGUAUGGAGGGGAAUGGGGAAGGAGAACUGGACGAUGGAGCCCAUGCUACCUGUAUGUGUAAUUCUACUGGUUUUAGUGCGUCUAACAUAUUCUUUAUCCUGCCAUUCAUUUAACAAAUUGCACAGCACGAAAAAUGAGUUCCUUAUCUCAGCCUAUAAUGUUCUUUUCCUGCAAUUUGAUGUCAAUAAAUCCAUUUUGACGCUUGCCCUGCUGAAAGUUACACCAUGAAAUAUAGAGGAUUUUAAUUUUGUCAGUAAGUUGUCAGAUUAUUAAACUUAUAAAGUUUUUUCUAUUAUUAUGCAUCUAUAUAUGGGUACCUUGUGAAUUUAUGGUCGGAGCUGAGAGGAAGCUGAAAAUAGUAAACAAGUCAGCACAGGUUGGUUUUGAUGCAUUGCUUGCCAAUUUGAUACAUAUCGACAUACAGUACCAUGCUUGCUAUAUCGCACUGAUGGUCGAGCCCGGCCAUCGAAGCCCGACGACAGUGACAAUGGGAAGGAAAAUUUUUGGUUAGUCGGCCCUUCGUUAAUUUAUUCUAUGUGAUAAUAUUAGUCCGCACUAGGAUUUAGGCUGCAGUAAUUUCUUGAUAUAGAUGGAAUUAGCUAGGGGCAGCAAUCUCUUAUUUUAUCCUCACAAAAUGAUACCAGAAAUUAGACAUGCCAUGCUGAUUCUAUCAUUUUGAUUAAAUUUGUAACAGAUUGUGUUUGUGUUUGUGUAGUUAUGAAGAGUAAAAACAACGUAUAGAUUUUACAAGAUAGUUGGAUCAAGUAAAAAAAUGAAGGACCACAACAAACUAUUAAAAACAUUCAACAUAUUUGCUAUGUAUUAAUAAAUCUUUGUCUCAUAACAGUCCCUUUGGUUACUACAUACUUGUCCAUAGGACUAUAGCAGUCUUUGUUUCAUACGAUUCCACCAUUGUUGUCCUCUACAACAAGAAAAGAAAGUUUUCUACGAUGUCUUUGGCUCUUCCUAUACAAAAUUCUAAUACAACUAUGCGCUUGCUGAAGAAGUAAAAUAUAAAUUUGUUUAUCUCUGGACCCAUAUGAUUUAUUAUUGGGACAAAUAGCAUAAGCAUAUUAACUAAUGGUAAUGUUACUCAGACUUAUAUGUUACUAAAAUGAUGCACACUUACCUUAUUUGGCCUGAUUUGUUCUUUUUUUGUGAAUUUUUGAAUUUUUUGAAUUAUUGAUUUAUAGUUUUAGUUGUGUAUUAGCAUCUAAGAUGGAAUCAAAAUAAAUUAAAUAAAGAAAAAUAUUUUUCUCAGUCUCGUGUGCUAUAUUCCCUAACUCUCUCACCCAUGCAGGUGGAUUUUACAAGUUUUCAUUCUGCUUGAUAGCACUGCAGUGCCAUAAUUUGAGACAUGCAUAGAAGGCCCUGUCUUCUUAGAUGGACUAUAUGUUUAUAUGCUCAUAGUUAGUGUAAUGUAUUGUAGUGAUCCGCAUGUUACGCAAAUUCAUGUCAAUAUUCAAGGAUACAUUGCACUUUUUUCUAACUGAAAUGUGAACUGAUCAUAUGACUGAUAUAUGCUAUUAGGAGGUAUAUAUCAAUCCUCACAUAUUUUUUGAUUC